UACGUAGGGCGCAAGCGUUGUCCGGAAUUAUUGGGCGUAAAGAGCUCGUAGGCGGUUUGUCGCGUCUGCUGUGAAAACUGGAGGCUCAACCUCCAGCCUGCAGUGGGUACGGGCAGACUAGAGUGCGGUAGGGGAGAUUGGAAUUCCUGGUGUAGCGGUGGAAUGCGCAGAUAUCAGGAGGAACACCAAUGGCGAAGGCAGAUCUCUGGGCCGUAACUGACGCUGAGGAGCGAAAGCAUGGGGAGCGAACAGG
rnacentral:rRNA from 1 species